rnacentral:rRNA from 1 species
CAGGAUGAACGCUAGCGAUAGGCCUAACACAUGCAAGUCGAGGGCAUCACAUGAAGCAGCAAUGCGGAUGGUGGCGACCGGCGCACGGGUGAGUAACACGUAUGCAACCUGCCUUCAACAAGGGGAUAACCCGUUGAAAGACGGACUAAUACCCUAUAAUACAGGGGUCCCGCAUGGGGAUAUUUGUUAAAGAUUAAUCGGUUGAAGAUGGGCAUGCGUUCCAUUAGCUAGUUGGUGGGGUAACGGCCCCCCAAGGCAACGAUGGAUAGGGGAACUGAGAGGUUUAUCCCCCACACUGGUACUGAGACACGGACCAGACUCCUACGGGAGGCAGCAGUGAGGAAUAUUGGUCAAUGGACGCAAGUCUGAACCAGCCACGUCCGCGUGAAGGAAGACGGCCCUACGGGUUGUAAACUUCUUUUGCAAGGGAAUAAAGUGGGCCACGCGUGGCCUUUUGCAUGUACCUUGCGAAUAAGGAUCGGCUAACUCCGUGCCAGCCGCCGC